UACGGAGGGGGCUAGCGUUGUUCGGAAUUACUGGGCGUAAAGCGCACGUAGGCGGCUUUGUAAGUUAGAGGUGAAAGCCCGGGGCUCAACUCCGGAAUUGCCUUUAAGACUGCAUCGCUCGAAUUGUGGAGAGGUAAGUGGAAUUCCGAGUGUAGGUGAAAUUCGUAGAUAUUCGGAAGAACACCAGUGGCGAAGGCGACUUACUGGACACAUAUUGACGCUGAGGUGCGAAAGCGUGGGGAGCAAACAGG
rnacentral:rRNA from 1 species